rnacentral:rRNA from 1 species
GACGAACGCUGGCGGCGUGCUUAACACAUGCAAGUCGAACGGAAAGGCCCUGCUUGCAGGGUGCUCGAGUGGCGAACGGGUGAGUAACACGUGGGUGAUCUGCCCCUUACUUUGGGAUAAGCCUGGGAAACUGGGUCUAAUACUGGAUAGGACCAUGCUGUAGGUGGUGUGGUGGAAAGAUUAGUUUCGGUAAGGGAUGAGCUCGCGGCCUAUCAGCUUGUUGGUGGGGUAAUGGCCUACCAAGGCGUCGACGGGUAGCCGGCCUGAGAGGGUGGACGGCCACAUUGGGACUGAGAUACGGCCCAGACUCCUACGGGAGGCAGCAGUGGGGAAUAUUGCACAAUGGGCGCAAGCCUGAUGCAGCGACGCCGCGUGGGGGAUGACGGCCUUCGGGUUGUAAACUCCUUUCAGCUAUGACGAAGCCCUUGUGGUGACGGUAGUGGUAGAAGAAGCACCGGCUAACUACGUGCCAGCAGCCGCGGUAAUACGUAGGGUGCGAGCGUUGUCCGGAAUUACUGGGCGUAAAGAGCUCGUAGGUGGUCUGUCGCGUCAUUUGUGAAAGCCCGGGGCUUAACUCCGGGUUGGCAGGUGAUACGGGCAUGACUGGAGUACUGUAGGGGAGACUGGAAUUCCUGGUGUAGCGGUGAAAUGCGCAGAUAUCAGGAGGAACACCGGUGGCGAAGGCGGGUCUCUGGGCAGUAACUGACGCUGAGGAGCGAAAGCAUGGGUAGCGAACAGGAUUAGAUACCCUGGUAGUCCAUGCCGUAAACGGUGGGCGCUAGGUGUGGGUUUCCUUCCACGGGAUCCGUGCCGUAGCUAACGCAUUAAGCGCCCCGCCUGGGGAGUACGGCCGCAAGGCUAAAACUCAAAGGAAUUGACGGGGGCCCGCACGAGCGGCGGAGCAUGUGGAUUAAUUCGAUGCAACGCGAAGAACCUUACCUGGGCUUGACAUGCACUGGAUGCGGCCAGAGAUGGUUGUUCCCUUUGUGGCUGGUGUGCAGGUGGUGCAUGGUUGUCGUCAGCUCGUGCCGUGAGAUGUUGGGUUAAGUCCCGCAACGAGCGCAACCCUUGUCUCGUGUUGCCAGCAUUUGGUUGGGGACUCGCGGGAGACUGCCGGGGUUAACUCGGAGGAAGGUGGGGAUGACGUCAAAUCAUCAUGCCCCUUAUGUCCAGGGCUUCACACAUGCUACAAUGGCUGGUACAGAGAGUUGCGAUACCGUGAGGUGGGGCUAAUCUCGUAAAGCCAGUCUCAGUUCGGAUUGGAGUCUGCAACUCGACUCCAUGAAGUCGGAGUCGCUAGUAAUCGCAGAUCAGCAAUGCUGCGGUGAAUACGUUUCCCGGGC